rnacentral:misc_RNA from 1 species
AUUUGAAGUAUGGUGUUACAGGUCCAAGGUAGCUAAGCGAAGGCUGGCAACACUUGGGGAAGAGCACAAUACAGCUAAAGCAGUAUGACUUCUCUCUUCUUUUGCCAAUUCUAGGAUUUAGCUAUCCUCCUUUUCGCGUCACUGAUUAUAUGCUGAAAACUUUCUUUUAUUCUUUCGAGUUAUAACCUAGCUGAAUUGGUAAGACAUCUUAAAAUGGCCUAGCUUCUGUAAAGUGACCUCUAUUUUUGUACCCUCUCCAUGUUUUCA